rnacentral:misc_RNA from 1 species
UCCGGUUUGGCACCGGCAGUCUCUCUAGAGUUCCCGGCAUUACCCGCUGGCAACUAGGGAUAGGGGUUGCGCUCGUUGCGCCACUUAAGGCAACACCUCACGGCACGAGCUGACGACAGCCGUGCAGCACCUGUGCAGGCUCCCGAAGGAGCCCCGUGUUUCCACGGGUUUACCCUGCAUGUCAAGCCCUGGUAAGGUUCUUCGCGUUGCGUCGAAUUAAGCCACAUGCUCCGCCGCUUGUGCGGGUCCCCGUCAAUUCCUUUGAGUUUUAGCCUUGCGGCCGUACUCCCCAGGCGGGGCGCUUAAUGCGUUAGCUACGGCACAGAGCAGAAAACCCACCCCACACCUAGCGCCCACCGUUUACGGCGUGGACUAC